rnacentral:rRNA from 1 species
UACAGAGGGGGCCAGCGUUAUUCGGAAUUAUUGGGCGUAAAGGGCGCGUAGGCGGCCAUGCGUGUCUUCCGUGAAAUCCCUCGGCUUAACUGAGGACGUGCGGAAGAAACUGCAAGGCUCGAGUCCGGGAGAGGGGGGUGGAAUUCCCAGUGUAGCGGUGAAAUGCGUGGAUAUCGAGAAGAACGCUCGUAGCGAAGGCGAGGCUCUGGGCAAAUUCUGACGCUGAGGCACGAAGGCUAGGGGAGCAAACGGG